rnacentral:tRNA from 1 species
AAAAAGAUAAGCUAAUUUAAGCUUAUAGGUUCAUACCCUGUUCAUGAAAGUAAAAUCUUUCUCUUUUUA